AAGUCCCUGCUGGGUUUGUGAUGAGAAAUGUUUUUUUGAGCCAACACUCAUAAAAAGGGAUUCUAUGUUUGGAAGCAACGUACAUGCCCAUGAUUAUCGGGAAGUAUUAACCUUGCAACAAGACACCCACCUGUUUUUCAGGUUCAUAUAACUUUUCACACGGCCUGAGCGGGGAAUUU
rnacentral:other from 1 species